GACGAACGCUGGCGGCGUGCUUAACACAUGCAAGUCGAACGGAAAGGCCUGCUUUCCCUUGUGGAUUGCGGGUACUCGAGUGGCGAACGGGUGAGUAACACGUGAGUGAUCUGCCCCCAACUUGGGUAUAAGCCUGGGAAACUGGGUCUAAUUCCCGAUAGGACUGCAGGGUGGUGCCUGUGGUGGAAAUCGAUUUUCUAGUGGUUGGGGAUGAGCUCGCGGCCUAUCAGCUUGUUGGUGGGGUAAUGGCCUACCAAGGCGGCGACGGGUAGCCGGCCUGAGAGGGUGGACGGCCACAUUGGGACUGAGAUACGGCCCAGACUCCUACGGGAGGCAGCAGUGGGGAAUAUUACACAAUGGGCGGAAGCCUGAUGCAGCGACGCCGCGUGGGGGAUGACGGCCUUCGGGUUGUAAACUCCUUUCGACCGCGAGGAAGCCACCUGGUUGGAAGGGUGGUGACGGUAGUGGUAGAAGAAGCACCGGCUAACUACGUG
rnacentral:rRNA from 1 species